GACAGAGGUGCCGAGCGUUAGGCGGAAUCACUGGGCUUAAAGCGUGUGUAGGCGGAUCGUUAAGUACCUUGUGAAAUCCCACGGCUCAACCGUGGAACUGCUGGGUAUACUGGCGGUCUUGAGCCACCUAGGGGCGAGCGGAACAAGCGGUGGAGCGGUGAAAUGCGUAGAGAUGCGGAGGAACACCAGUGGCGAAAGCGGGUCUCUGGGCAUCUCCUGACGCUGAGGCGCGAAAGCGUGGGGAGCAAACGGG
rnacentral:rRNA from 1 species